GUCCAUGCAACUGGCGGAUAAGUGGAGUUGACCACGGGGAGCAUGGUUGGAGAAUGUAAGUCGACCGCCUGGGCAACCU
rnacentral:ncRNA from 1 species